rnacentral:tRNA from 1 species
CGGAUAGUGGAAGAGUGGUCAUCUUCGCUGGUCUUGGACUCCAGAGGACGUAGGUUCGAAUCCUGCCUAUCCGACCA